rnacentral:lncRNA from 1 species
CUGUCAUCCUCAGCAGGUCUUAUCUUGCCCUGUGAGAACCGGUGUCACUAGCCAUAAGGCUUUAGCUGUGAUGGGAGAGCAGGAAGUUUCCUCCUUCCAGUCUGGCUCAAAGGACAGAACAAGACCUGCUUCAGACAUGCUCUAGACUCAAUUUAUCGUCUACGGUCCCCAACAGGGAAUUUGCAGUUACUUUUUCUUGCCUACACAUUUGGCAUUCAAUUUUCAACAGUGACUUUUACAUUCAAGCUAAGCAUUACUUUCAAGGUGGGUAAAAA